ensembl:lncRNA
CCGCUUCAGUUUGUCUUUGGGCCUGAACAGUCGCUGGAAAAAUUCAAAGAGGAGUUUCGGAGGAUGUCUUUCUCUGGCUAUGUGUUAAAUGGAGAACAGGCCGGCUUCUACUAUAUGUCUCUGAGCAGACUGCACCCUCAGAGGAUCCGAGAGACCGAGAGGCUGUCUGAGAGCACUGCAUCCCCCCCACAACAGCCUGCUGCCGCCACCAUAUCCUGCAGUGCUGCAGCUCAGGCGGAGACCACGACGCUCGAGAGCGAAGCAGAAGCUCAGGCCGACAGUGAGAGUGAGGACAGGAAGCCAGUCAGUGUUGCUGCUGAUGCUCUCAGUGACACGACUCCGGACGCUGGUGAAUCAGUUGCAGCCUUGAAGCCUGAAGCAGAUGACUCUGUUAGCAUGGUUGGGGACAGAGGUCAGCCCAGUACCCCCCAGCUGCAGGCAGAGAGCUGCACAGAGGCCAGCUCACCCCCAAAGACCCCCUCG